GGCAGCUUUGUCAAAUUCAGUGCUUCCUCCUCGGUGGAUGCCACUGGCCAAAAUGGCUGCUACAGUGAAGGUGUAGUUCAUGGGCCCCACGGUGCUUCAACAUGGCUGCUGGGGAUAAACACGUGCUACACACAAAC
ensembl:snoRNA small nucleolar RNA SNORA5